CGCGUCGCACAGCCGGAGCCAUUCUCCAGGAGGCUGCCUGGAGCCCGGAGACAGCAGCUUGCUAUUGACACCACCUGGACAGGACACGUGAUGUCAGCCCCUUAAGUCCUCGUUAUAAGCGUUGAAGACUCUGGCGCGCAGGUGCAGAGAUUUACGCAAGUUGCGCCGACCCAAGACAAGCCCCGACCCAAGACACGCCCGCAGGGAGCUGAGGUUACGAGGCAACCACAAGAACUGAAUUUCAGAAAGAGACAAGCCCUUCCAAGGAGAAAUAAGACAUGGAAAUUAUUUUACCUUUGCCAGAGCACAAGCAAAACACAGAGCUGCUACAAAAAAAGGUGAGAAGAUGACCAUUGGAGGCUUUCCACACAGAAGGUUAUGACAUUUGCUAUCCAUGAGUCAAAACUCAAGGCCUAAUUUUAAGGAUAUUCAUUGCUAAGAUGUUAAGCUUCCACUUUCAAUGUUUGCCAUAACCUAUGUCCUUCAGGAAAUGGAGCCUGUGGCAGAGGUACUGUCCAGGAAGCUGUAUAACCAGACCCUCAAGAUCAUCCAUAGGAAGAUGGGAAAGAAGAGACUUUAUCCACAGGUACCCAUCUCCCGUUGGACAAAGAUUCACAACAGAGUGUUCAUUCUCCUGUACGUCGGGGCUGCACCCACAUGGACACCAGGUGGAGUGUCUUGUCUCUGGCCUGAGGCAGUCUGCAUGAAGUCGUGGGAGCUGGUGCAGAGUGGCAGCUGGAAAACACACAGGCAGAUCUCGAGUGGUGUAGAAGAGGUGUCUGCCAUAAUGCCUCAUCUACUCUGCACUUGCAAAUUUAUAACUAUUUAACACCCAAACAAGAUAGAAAAAAAACAAUAAAUGUUAUUUAAAAGAAA